UGGGGAAUAUUGGACAAUGGGCGCAAGCCUGAUCCAGCCAUGCCGCGUGAGUGAUGAAGGCCCUAGGGUUGUAAAGCUCUUUCACCGGUGAAGAUAAUGACGGUAACCGGAGAAGAGGCCCCGGCUAACUUCGUGCCAGCAGCCGCGGUAAUACGAAGGGGGCUAGCGUUGUUCGGAUUUACUGGGCGUAAAGCGCACGUAGGCGGACUUUUAAGUCAGGGGUGAAAUCCCGGGGCUCAACCCCGGAACUGCCUUUGAUACUGGAAGUCUUGAGUAUGGUAGAGGUGAGUGGAAUUCCGAGUGUAGAGGUGAAAUUCGUAGAUAUUCGGAGGAACACCAGUGGCGAAGGCGGCUCACUGGACCAUUACUGACGCUGAGGUGCGAAAGCGUGGGGAGCAAACAGG
rnacentral:rRNA from 1 species